CCGCGUGAGUGAUGAAGGCCCUAGGGUCGUAAAGCUCUUUCGAAGAGAAAUAAUGACAGUAUCUGGAAAAGAAACCCCGGCUAACUCCGUGCCAGCAGCCGCGGUAAUACGGAGGGGGUUAGCGUUGUUCGGAAUUACUGGGCGUAAAGCGCACGUAGGCGGAUCAGAAAGUAUGAGGUGAAAUCCCGGGGCUCAACCCCGGAACUGCCUUGUAAACUCCUGGUCUUGAGUUCGAGAGAGGUGAGUGGAAUUCCGAGUGUAGAGGUGAAAUUCGUAGAUAUUCGGAGGAACACCAGUGGCGAAGGCGGCUCACUGGCUCGAUACUGACGCUGAGGUGCGAAAGUGUGGGGAGCAAACAGGAUUAGAUACCCUGGUAGUCCACACCGUAAACGAUGAAUGCCAGACGUCAGCAAGCAUGCUUGUUGGUGUCACACCUAACGGAUUAAGCAUUCCG
rnacentral:rRNA from 1 species